GGGGAUGUGGCUCAGCGGGUAGAGCGCUCGCCUGGCAUGCGUGAAGACCCGGGUUCGAUUCCUCAGUGCCA
rnacentral:tRNA from 1 species